ACCGGUGGAGUAACAACGUACUGCGAACCUGCCCCUCGGCUGGGGGACGUAAGACCGGACGAAUACCGGUCUAAUACCGCGUAACAUCCUUGCGGGACAUCCCGUUAGGAUCAAGGAAGCGAUUCGGCCAGGGAUGGGCAUGCGGCGCAUUAGCUAGUCGGCGGGGUAACGGGCCCGACCGAGGCGGACGAUGCUAGGGGUUCGUGAGAGGAAGGUCCCCCACACUGGUAACUGAGACACGGACCAGACUCCUACGGGAGGCAGCAGUGAGGAAUAUUGGUCAAUGGGCGCGAGCCUGAACCAGCCAAGUCGCGUGAGGGAAGACGGUCCUAUGGAUUGUAAACCUCUUUUGCCGGGGAGCAAGCUGUGUCACGUGUGACACAGCUGAGAGUACCCGGAGAAAAAGCAUCGGCUAACUCCGUG
rnacentral:rRNA from 1 species